rnacentral:lncRNA from 1 species
UAUAUUUGUGUAAAAUUAGAAACAAUAUACUCAUGGCAGAAUUCACAUUUUUAUUCUACAGCCUUUCCUGCCUAAAAUUGUACAGGAGGUCAAGAACAACAGUGCUGUCAUGUUUGUCUUCCUGUCCCCAAUACUUGGUUGGCAUGGUGCCUGGCUUGAGGAUGUAAUUGGAUGAGUCUGCAGAAGGAUAAGGUAUGUGGACUGGAUCGGAAUUGUCCCAUUGGAGCUAUGCUAGAUCAUACGGCCCC